GAUGAACGCUGGCGGCGUGCCCAAUACAUGCAAGUCGAGCGAACAGACGAGAGUGCUUGCACUCUCUGACGUUAGCGGCGGACGGGUGAGUAACACGUGGGUAACCUACCUAUAAGACUGGGAUAACUUCGGGAAACCGGAGCUAAUACCGGAUAAUAUUUAGCUUCGCAUGAAGCAAUAGUGAAAGACGGUUCUGCUGUCACUUAUAGAUGGACCCGCGGUGUAUUAGCUGGUUGGUGAGGUAACGGCUCACCAAGGCAACGAUACAUAGCCGACCUGAGAGGGUGAUCGGCCACACUGGGACUGAGACACGGCCCAGACUCCUACGGGAGGCAGCAGUAGGGAAUCUUCCGCAACGGACGAAAGUCUGACGGAGCAAUGCCGCGUGAGUGAAGAAGGUUUUCGGAUCGUAAAACUCUGUUGUAAGGGAAGAACAAGUACGUUAGUAACUGAACGUACCUUGACGGUACCUUACCAGAAAGCCACGGCUAACUACGUG
rnacentral:rRNA from 1 species